CGGCCAAUAAGUCCACCAAAGUUAACAGCAUUUCCAAAGUUGUUUUCCUGUCCCAACAUCAAUGUUUUCAGCCAAUUAGCUCUAAAAUGUAAAUUGUAACUCUGUGAAUGUGCUAUUAGCAGCAACAUAUCAAUUCAAAUACAUUUCUUCAUUCUAAAUUCCACCUACUCAAACUAUCUUAGGAGUUUCUCAAUUGCAUGUCAACGAAGAUUCUUUUUCCAAUCG
rnacentral:misc_RNA from 1 species